UCAUUCCUCCUCCUUCUCACGCUAACUUGCGCUUCUUCCCGGCCGAUGAGUACGCCUUAUCACGACGUUACUCCGAUGGAGCAUAGUAAGUUUCAUAGCAGCACCAACAGCAGCAGAAGAAAGAAGGAAGAAGAAGAAGAAGAAGAAGGAGGAGGAGGAGGAGGAGGAGGAGAAUUAGGAAGAGGAGAAAGGGUGCAAUUUUUACCAAUGGGUGAAGUUUCAUAGCAGCACCAACAGCAGCAGAAAAAAGAAAGAGGAAGAAGUUGUUUAAAAAGUGGGUACAAGUUAAAACUUUUUUAAAAAAUAGGUGCAAUUUUUACCAAUAACAAUGUUAACUCAAUAAAGAGUAAUUUCCAAGAUGUAGACCUGAAUUUGGGAUCUGAAAUCCAAGGAAGCCAUGGCCUAGAAACACACUUGAAUGGCAAGAGGGAUUUCGCUGGCAAGUUUAAUUUGAGAGGAUACUUAUAGUGAUAUCGUCGGGUAUAGUUGCCAUGUUAUGGUGUCCGAGAAUUGAUUUUGCCUGUCGAGUACAGCGUUGCCCUACUGAAAAUAGUGUGAGAAUUUCAUUA